rnacentral:rRNA from 1 species
GAGAAGUCCGGGGCAACCCGGUAGUAAAGUGGCAAACGGGUGAGGAAUACAUGGGUAAACCUACCCUUGAGAAGGGAAUAACCCGCCGAAAGGUGAGCUAAUACCCUAUACGCAUCUUUUUUUCGAAAAGGAUAGGAAAGCCGGGUCGAGGACCUGGUACUCAAGGAGGGGGCUCAUGUCCUAUCAGCUUGUUGGUGGGGUAACGGCCUACCAAGGCUACGACGGGUAGCUGGUCUGAGAGGAUGAUCAGCCACACUGGCACUGAGAUACGGGCCAGACUCCUACGGGAGGCAGCAGUGAGGAAUAUUGCGCAAGUGGGACGAAAGCCUGACGCAGCGACGCCGCGUGGGGAUGAAGGUUUUCGGAUUGUAAACCCCUUUCAUGAGGAAAGAUAAAGUGGGUAACCACUUAGACGGUACCUCAAGAAGAAGCCACGGCUAACUUCGUG